UCCGUUGAUGCAUGUCAGUUAUUUCCCCUCCUUUGCGUUCUGUGUUGGCCGGACUUGAUCCUGGUCAAUUAUUGCGCCUGCGUGUUUGGUUAACUUAGUUCCAUCGCAGCAGAGCAGGUUCAGGAGGCCAGUCAUGUUUUUCGAUAACGUGGUUUUUGCCGGAGUGCUGACUGUCGGCCUCAUGGUUCUGUUUUUUGCAGGGUUUGGAUUUUUUAUCUGGAAGGAUGCGAAUAAGCGCAAGAAGUGAUUCUUCUGGAUUGAUGAGCACGCAAGGCAUUUUGGGCGACUUCGGUUGCCCUUU
rnacentral:sRNA from 1 species